rnacentral:piRNA from 1 species
UCACAGAAGUUGCCACUCAUGACUUGC